CCUACGGGAGGCAGCAGUAGGGAAUAUUGCACAAUGGGCGAAAGCCUGAUGCAGCAACGCCGCGUGCACGAUGAAGGCCUUCGGGUUGUAAAGUGCUUUUCGGGGAGAUGAGGAAGGACAGUAUCCCCGGAAUAAGGAUCGGCUAACUACGUGCCAGCAGCCGCGGUAACACGUAGGAUCCGAGCGUUAUCCGAAUUUACUGGGCGUAAAGCGCGUGCAGGCGGUUUGAUAAGUUGGAUGUGAAAGCUCCUGGCUCAACUGGGAGAGGUCGUUCAAGACUGUCAGACUAGAGGAUGGUAGAGGGAGGUGGAAUUCCCGGUGUAGUGGUGAAAUGCGUAGAUAUCGGGAGGAACACCAGUGGCGAAGGCGGCCUCCUGGACCAUUCCUGACGCUCAGACGCGAAAGCUAGGGGAGCGAACGGGAUUAGAAACCCCGGUAGUCCUAGCCGUAAACGAUGUGAACUUGGCGUUGGUGGGGUAAAAGCCAUCAGUGCCGAAGCUAACGCGAUAAGUUCACCGCCUGGGGACUACGGCCGCAAGGUUAAAACUCAAAUGAAUUGACGG
rnacentral:rRNA from 1 species